CGUAGGCUGUUGCCAUGUUCCCACUUUCAUGGGUGUGGUGAUUAGCUUGCUUGGUGAAAAUUUUUAGUCUAAUCCGACCAGAGUCGCGCUCGCUUCUGCCCCUUUAAACCGAUUAAAUUGUUUUAAAAUUAACACGUCUGCACUUGCGAUUUCUCUCACAGCUGGGACCAUGGUUGUCGUGUGAAAACGGAUCUGUGUGACUCGGAUUGGAAGGACGGACAGAGCCAAGAAAAGCCUGUUUCAGGUGUCAGCUGGUAAAGCACGUGGGUGUGUGAGUGUGUGUGUGUGUGUGAGUGAGUGAGUGUGUGUGUGUGUGUGCGUGCGUGCGUGCAGGCAGGCAGGCACUUGUGUUUUCCCAGCCCAGUCAAGAUUUGGAGCGGAGUGUAGCCUGAACGCAUCACAGAAGGACAAUGAGCGAGCUGGAACAGUUGCGGCAGGAAGCCGAGCAACUACGCAAUCAGAUCCGGGAUGCCAGGAAAGCCUGCAGUGACUCCACUCUGUCACAGGUAAGAUAUCCUCUCCACAUAUAGAA